UUUAAUUUGUUACACUGCAGUUAUCACAUGCAAGAUGCCCCCUAACAUCAAAAUCAUGAUUCUUCGUUCGACAUGAUGAUGAAUGACGAAAAUAUACACAAGAAUGCGUGUCAUCGGGGUGGUGAUUUCACUAAUUCAGGAGUUACCAUGCUUUUUGGUUUCGGAGGAUUUCUUCAAAUGACACAUUUCCUUUGUCCAAAACUUGUGAGUUACUUCAAAAGUCAUGUCAAUCCCAUGAUCCCCCCAUCAAAGAGGAUCUCAGGUUCAACCAUUGGUACCAACCUAUUGUCCUGCAAAAUAAUGGUUGCUUUGUCAGCAAGCACCAACACCUCGAAAUGACUUAAUGCACAUUGUGACUGUGAUAUACUUACCUUAAACUGGGAGAAGGCAGCAUUGCGUGCUAUACCCCACGCUGCUUCCUUUAAUAGCCAAUGCAGAUGGGGCCAUUGGAAAUUAGAACAGGUGCUCACUUGAGGACACAAGCAGAGGCCAUUUUCUCUCAAAAAGUGUGAUAUGAUAUGAACAUUAACUCUUGUGUAUUUUGGACGUUGUUAUUUUGUUGUUUUUCUCUGUCUUCUACUUUUUAUUUCCUGCCAGUUCAUUAUAUUUAUAGUGGCAAAUUUUUGCA